CGGUGGGGGGUGGAAAAGGUUUUCCUGUUUGGGAGGGCUCCCGGCCUUUCAGCUUGUGGUGGGGUAAUGGCUCACCAAGGGGACGGCGGGUAGCCGCCUUGAGAGGGUGACCGGCCCACCUGGGAUUGAGACCCGGCCCAGAUUCCUACGGGAGGCAGCAGGGGGAAUAUUGCACAAUGGGCGGAAGCCUGAUGCAGCGACCCCGCCUGAGGGAUGACGGCCUUCGGGUUGUAAACCUCUUUCAGUAGGGAAGAAGCGAGAGUGACGGUACCUGCAGAAGAAGCGCCGGCUAACUACGUGCCAGCAGCCGCGGUAAUACGUAGGGCGCAAGCGUUGUCCGGAAUUAUUGGGCGUAAAGAGCUCGUAGGCGGUUUGUCGCGUCUGCUGUGAAAGCCCGGGGCUCAACCCCGGGUCUGCAGUGGGUACGGGCAGACUAGAGUGCAGUAGGGGAGACUGGAAUUCCUGGUGUAGCGGUGAAAUGCGCAGAUAUCAGGAGGAACACCGAUGGCGAAGGCAGGUCUCUGGGCUGUUACUGACGCUGAGGAGCGAAAGCAUGGGGAGCGAACAGGAUUAGAUACCCUGGUAGUCCAUGCCGUAAACGUUGGGCACUAGGUGUGGGGGACAUUCCACGUUUUCCGCGCCGUAGCUAACGCAUUAAGUGCCCCGCCUGGGGAGUACGGCCGCAAGGCUAAAACUCAAAGGAAUUGACGGGGGCCCGCACAAGCGGCGGAGCAUGCGGAUUAAUUCGAUGCAACGCGAAGAACCUUACCAAGGCUUGACAUUCACCGGACCGCCCCAGAGAUGGGGUUUCCCUUCGGGGCUGGUGGACAGGUGGUGCAUGGUUGUCGUCAGCUCGUGUCGUGAGAUGUUGGGUUAAGUCCCGCAACGAGCGCAACCCUCGUUCUAUGUUGCCAGCACGUGAUGGUGGGGACUCAUAGGAGACUGCCGGGGUCAACUCGGAGGAAGGUGGGGAUGACGUCAAAUCAUCAUGCCCCUUAUGUCUUGGGCUUCACGCAUGCUACAAUGGCCGGUACAAAGGGUUGCGAUACUGUGAGGUGGAGCUAAUCCCAAAAAGCCGGUCUCAGUUCGGAUUGAGGUCUGCAACUCGACCUCAUGAAGUCGGAGUCGCUAGUAAUCGCAGAUCAGCAACGCUGCGGUGAAUACGUUCCCGGGCCUUGUACACACCGCCCGUCAAGUCACGAAAGUUGGUAACACCCGAAGCCGGUGGCAUGUAGAUCCGCAUUCUGUGGGACAUCGACGAGCGC
rnacentral:rRNA from 1 species